UGCCAGCAGCCGCGGUAAGACGGAGGUCCCUAGCGUUGUUCGGAAUUACUGGGCUUAAAGCGCGUGUAGGCGGAAGGGCAAGUACCUUGUGAAAUCCCCGGGCUCAACCCGGGAAUAGCUGGGUAUACUGCCUUUCUUGAGGCAGGUAGGGGUCACUGGAACCUUAGGUGGAGCGGUGAAAUGCGUAGAUAUCUAAGGGAACGCCUGUGGCGAAAGCGGGUGACUGGGCCUGUCCUGACGCUGAGACGCGAAAGCGUAGGGAGCAAACGGGAUUAGAUACCCCGGUAGUCUACGCCGUAAACGAUGCGCACUAGGUUCGAGGGUCCCUGACGACUCUCGAGCCGAAAUAAAAACGAUAAGUGCGCCGCCUGGGGAGUACGGCCGCAAGGCUAAAACUCAAAGGAAUUGACGGGGGCCCGCACAAGG
rnacentral:rRNA from 1 species